UAGGGAAUAUUGGGCAAUGGAGGGAACUCUGACCCAGCCAUGCCGCGUGCAGGAUGAAGGCGUUAUGCGUUGUAAACUGCUUUUUAUAUAGGAAGAAAUAGUCCUUGCGAGGAAAGUUGGCGGUACUAUAUGAAUAAGCACCGGCUAACUCCGUGCCAGCAGCCGCGGUAAUACGGAGGGUGCAAGCGUUGUCCGGAUUUAUUGGGUUUAAAGGGUGCGUAGGCGGUUUAUUAAGUCAGUGGUGAAAGACGGUCGCUCAACGAUUGCAGUGCCAUUGAUACUGGUAGACUUGAGUAUGAUUGAGGUAGCUGGAAUGGAUAGUGUAGCGGUGAAAUGCAUAGAUAUUAUCCAGAACACCAAUUGCGUAGGCAAGUUACUAAGUCAUAACUGACGCUGAGGCACGAAAGUGUGGGUAUCGAACAGGAUUAGAUACCCAUGUAGUCCCUGAGCGGGCUGGCAAGGCGCAU
rnacentral:rRNA from 1 species